UACGAAGGGGGCUAGCGUUGUUCGGAAUCACUGGGCGUAAAGGGCGCGUAGGCGGCUUUAUAAGUCGGGGGGUGAAAGCCUGUGGCUCAACCACAGAAUUGCCUUCGAUACUGUAGAGCUUGAGACCGGAAGAGGUAAGUGGAACUGCGAGUGUAGAGGUGAAAUUCGUAGAUAUUCGCAAGAACACCAGUGGCGAAGGCGGCUCACUGGCCCGAUACUGACGCUGAGGUGCGAAAGCGUGGGGGAGCAAACAGG
rnacentral:rRNA from 1 species